CACUAAGCAGGGGACACAGGAAGUAGUUUCUCUUUUCUUCCACCUUGCCUCUGACACCUCAGGGCAGUGAAGGCUUUGAUAUGCGUGAGGAGGCAUCGGGUCAGCAGAUGGAGGAGUCCAGGCCCUGUUCUAGGCAAGAUAAGUACUCUGAGUGAAGUUUGAGGGAACCACCCACCACAGAUUGGAGGGACUCCCACAGAGUCCAACCCCUGAUUUCAGCCCUGUUAGAUCCCAGACAGGGAUCAUUUGAUUUAGUACCUUCUGAAUUCCCUCAGUGAGGACUCUGGGAGCUGAGAGUCAGCAGAUGGAGGCGUCCAGGCUCUGCCACACGUUAAGGUGACCCUUUUUUGAAGUGAGGAGGUCAUUGGACACUUUCUUGAAGGAGACAGCAUUGUGGAACAUUAAAUAGAUGUCACUAGUCAUCACCUCUAAAUUGUUGGCCUGAUCUUGGGUGUUCUAAGCCUACUCAACACAAAGAAGAUGAAUAUGAAGACCUUUGUGAUGAUCCACUUCACUUAAUGAAUAGUUGUAGGCAAAGCCAGCUGCCAUUUCAUAAGAACACUCAGGCAACACUAUGGAGCUGUUCAUUGGCAAGGAAAUUAGUUCUCCUGCCGUAACCAGCAAGGAACUGAAGCUCUUGCUAACAGCUAUGUGAAUUAGUUAUUUUGGAAGCAGAUCCUCCAACUCCAGUCAAGCCAGCUGACAUACAGCACUAGCUGACAUCAUGAUUGCAACCAUGUGAGAAGAUUCGGGUCAGAGCCACCCAGAUGCUGAAACCUGAAGUCAGCAGGGAAGUCAGGAAGAGGAGAUGAUGCAAAGCAGAGGAAGCAAGGAUAAAUGGAAUCCAUGAGGACUAUCUGGAGCUCUCAAGGACUGACUGGGACCCAUGUUGAUCUUCCACUGCCUCCAAACCUCCAAUUUCAAUGACAUCAAUGCCCUGAAAAAAAAAAGUGGGCGUUCUUUUUUAUGGAGCUGGUGAAGAAGGAGGAAGAUAUGAGGGAGAACUGGAGCAAUUGUGGGCCCAACUGCUGCCUCACACCAAGCAGAGAACCCUGAAGGAAGAGGUGCCAGGAGAGAUGAAAGGAAAUAUCAUGGGAAUGGAGUGCUGUUCAGCCUGCGGAAUGUCUGGAAUAUCUGAGAAGCAGCAGGACAACAGUCGAUGCCUCUAGUGGGAAUAAAAGUCAAUUGAAUAUCUACCAGACAAGAUAGAAUUUGCAUAUCCAUCAGUUACAAAGAGGGAAGAAGUAGCUCAAAGACAAUGAAAAGGACCAAAAUCUGAUAAUCCAUAAAGGUAGAUCUAUAGUGAGAAGCUGAACCAUAACUGAAACACUGCUAAGGAAGCAUGGGAUGAUGAGAGAAGACACAUUCAUCUUAGGAUGUAUUCGUUAACCAUAAGAUAAAGGAAAAAGCAGUGCAUGGAAGCUGAAUAUAAGGUAUGGGCAAACCAAGAUCAUUCAUCUCAUACGGUAAUUAUCUCUAAAGCAAGGGCUCCUCCAGGGUAUUCCCUUUGCAGCAGAAGGGUCAUUUUAUCUUAAGGUCAUGCCUACCUAAAUUUCCCUAUUCCCUAAUGUUAGCAUCGAUAACCC
rnacentral:lncRNA from 10 species